CCUACGGGAGGCAGCAGUGGGGAAUAUUGCACAAUGGGGGGAACCCUGAUGCAGCAACGCCGCGUGGGUGAAGAAGUACUUCGGUAUGUAAAGCCCUGUCAGCAGGGAAGAAAAUGACGGUACCUGACCAAGAAGCCCCGGCUAACUACGUGCCAGCAGCCGCGGUAAUACGGAGGGGGCAAGCGUUAUCCGGAUUUACUGGGGGUAAAGGGAGAGUAGACGGCAAGGCAAGUCUGGAGUGAAAGCCCGUGGCUCAAACACGGGACUGCUUUGGAAACUGGGUUGCUGGAGUGCAGGAGGGGUAAGCGGAAUGCCUGGUGUAGCGGUGAAAUGCGUAGAUAUUAGGAGGAACACCGGUGGCGAAGGCGGCUUACUGGACUGUAACUGACGUUGAGGCUCGAAGGCGUGGGGAGCAAACAGGAUUAGAUACCCGUGUAGUC
rnacentral:rRNA from 1 species